GACGGAAGGUGCAAGCGUUGCUCGGAAUCACUGGGCGUAAAGGGUGCGCAGGCGGUUCUGCAAGUCAGGCGUGAAAUCCCCGGGCUUAACCUGGGAAUGGCGCUUGAAACUACGGGACUGGAGUAUGGCAGAGGGAGGUGGAAUUCCACGUGUAGCGGUGAAAUGCGUAGAGAUGUGGAGGAACACCGAUGGCGAAGGCAGCCUCCUGGGCCAAUACUGACGCUCAUGCACGAAAGCGUGGGGAGCAAACAGG
rnacentral:rRNA from 1 species